rnacentral:rRNA from 1 species
UCGGGCCUGCUCGGUGAAUAAGUUUUUAACAGCUGCGGUAUUUUAACUGUACUAAGGUAGCAUAAUAAUUUGCCUUAUAAUUUGAGGCUAGAAUGAAUGGUUUGACGAAGGUUAAUCUGUCUCCAUCUUAUUUUUUAGAAUUUAAUUUUUAGAGUGAAAAAGCUUAAAUUUUUUAAAGGGACGAGAAGACCCUAAUGAGCUUAUAAUUUUAUUAUUAUUGUUUAAAGUAUUUGGGUAAUAAUAUAUAAAUUUUAAUUGGGGUGAUUGAGGAAUAAAUUGAAUAAGGUAACUUCCUUAAAUUAAAUGUUUAUAGAUAAAGUAACCAAUGUAAUAUUGCUUAUAGUAUAGCUACCAUAGGGAUAACAGCGUAAUUUGUUUAGAGAGUUCUUAUUGAAAAACGAGAUUGCGACCUCGAUGUUGGAUUAAAGUAACCUUAAGGUGCAGAAGCUUUAGAA